UAAUAUAUACUGUAUGGCACAGUAUUCUAGUCAGAAUAAUUACUUUAAGAUGGGGCUAAAAAUCCAUUGUAUAGCAAAUAAUGACAUCUUGUAUAGAUGCUUUUUUCGCCCAGAUUAGGGCGUUUGUACGAGAGUUGAAACUUAGGUAGUCUUGUAAUGGCAUACAAGAGUAAAAUGCCUUUGUUUUAGUCGUCACUUGGUAUAAAGUAGUGUAACCCUUCAUGUAGAGAGUACUAUAUGAUUGUAGCUGGUCGUGAGUGAAACUUUGGGAUAAACUGUUAAUCUUUGUUUUGAAACUAGUUUUGCAAAAGCGAAUAAGAGUAAUAUUUCUUCUGCCAGGGAAAACCUCUAGACUGUCACAAUACAUGUGGAUACAUUAAGGAUUGAAGUGUGGACUAAGUGGUAAUCGAGUAACUAGAUUGGCAACAACUAGAUAGCUUUUUUAAAGGGAAACCGCUAUGAGGUAACAAGUAGUGAAAGCUAGGGAAAUCCGACUUGACCUAAGCCGCAAAAUUUACUUAAUUUGU
rnacentral:sRNA from 1 species